rnacentral:rasiRNA from 1 species
UUGAUACGAAUGAGACCCGCAGUAAAG